GCCGGAGUGACGAAACGGUUUACGUAGAGCCCUUAAAAGGCUCGGCCCGCAAGGGCAUGAGGGUUCGAAUCCCUCCUCCGGCA
rnacentral:tRNA from 1 species